GAUUGUUUGAUCAUGGCUCAGAUUGAACGCUGGCGGCAUGCAUUACACAUGCAAGUCGAACGGCAGCACGGGAGCAAUCCUGGUGGCGAGUGGCGAACGGGUGAGUAAUAUAUCGGAACGUGCCCAGUCGUGGGGGAUAACGUAGCGAAAGCUACGCUAAUACCGCAUACGAUCUAUGGAUGAAAGCGGGGGAUCGCAAGACCUCGCGCGAUUGGAGCGGCCGAUAUCAGAUUAGGUAGUUGGUGGGGUAAAAGCUUACCAAGCCUGCGAUCUGUAGCUGGUCUGAGAGGACGACCAGUCACACUGGAACUGAGACACGGUCCAGACUCCUACGGGAGGCAGCAGUGGGGAAUUUUGGACAAUGGGCGCAAGCCUGAUCCAGCAAUGCCGCGUGCAGGAUGAAGGCCUUCGGGUUGUAAACUGCUUUUGUACGGAACGAAACGGCUCUCUCUAAUACAGGGGGCUAAUGACGGUACCGUAAGAAUAAGCACCAGCUAACUACGUGCCAGCAGCCGCGGUAAUACGUAGGGUGCGAGCGUUAAUCGGAAUUACUGGGCGUAAAGCGUGCGCAGGCGGUUAUGUAAGACAGAUGUGAAAUCCCCGGGCUCAACCUGGGACCUGCAUUUGUGACUGCAUAGCUGGAGUACGGUAGAGGGGGAUGGAAUUCCGCGUGUAGCAGUGAAAUGCGUAGAUAUGCGGAGGAACACCGAUGGCGAAGGCAAUCCCCUGGACCUGUACUGACGCUCAUGCACGAAAGCGUGGGGAGCAAACAGGAUUAGAUACCCUGGUAGUCCACGCCCUAAACGUUGUCAACUGGUUGUUGGGUCUUCACUGACUCAGUAACGAAGCUAACGCGUGAAGUGACCGCCUGGG
rnacentral:rRNA from 1 species